ACUGCAUGCAAGUCCACAUGUUACAAAUCAAAAGGGUGUGAGCCUGUAAAUUCCGAAAAUCAAGUCAAAGACUCAAAAGAAGAAGCGGUUAUUAAAACAGUGGUCGAGGAGCUAGAUCAACUCAGCAAUGUCCUUUCACUGAGGGUCCACUCAGUUGAAGAAAAAUCCUCUAAAAUAAGCAAUAUUACAAUGGAGCAACGCGUACCUUCUAAAACGCCAUAAUGAGGGGGAAGGGGUUGCUGUUUUCAAAAGCCUGGCUUUGCAAAAUCCCACUCGCUAAGUAACCCAAGGAAAUCGUUCACUUCUUAACAAAUAAAAAGGCUAGACUUUG